rnacentral:lncRNA from 1 species
UGGGAUUACAGGUGUGAGCCACUGCACCUGGCCCUAUUCCUUUUCUUAGGGAGCUCACAGUUCACUGGAUGAGACAGAAGGAAGCUGAUUCUGAAAGGAAACAGGGUGUGGUAAAGAUAGGUCAGAGGGGUGAGCACAGAGGGGAUCAAGAGAAGGGGGUGAAAGACCAUUGUCAUCAGUGCAGCCUUUUUGGGGAGCAAUGUGUGAGCUGAGCUUUGGGAAGAAAUGAGGUUUUAAUGAGUGUGGGAGGAGAGCCCUCCUGAGAUAUGUGGAGAGACCAAUGCCCCUCUUCCCUGCUGCUCCCCCUCUUGAAGCAGUUCCCUUCUUCCCUCUGUCCCAGCUCGGCACAGUCACAGCAACUCUCCAAAUCAUGACGCUCAAAAUGCCACAUCUAAAAAGAACAUCCGGGCUCUGCCCCUAAGAAAGAAUUCAUGCACCUACAAAGAGGAAGGAACGGCACAGCCAUCCACCU